rnacentral:misc_RNA from 1 species
AGACGUAACAAGGUCUCCGUUGGUGAACCAGCGGAGGGGAUCGAUUAUAGAGGUUAAUAAGCAAACUCCCAACCCAUGUGAAUUUACCUAUGUUGCCUCGGGCAGGUCCUACCCCUGUAGUUUACCCUGUAGCUACCCCUGUUGCCUGCCGGUGGGACCUACAAACUCUGUUUUUUAAUGGAAAUCUGAGCGUAUUAUUUAAUAAAUAAAAA